rnacentral:lncRNA from 1 species
UAAAAUACGUUAAGUUUACUUUACAUUAGUUAAGAUAUUACCUUGGCCUUUAUUUAUAUUUGAGUGUGAUCGUUCUUCAUGAAGUUAGGUCCAGAAAGGCGCAGCUCAAUCGUUAGUACUUUGGCACAAACAUUUCUUAAAUCAUCCGUUUAUAAAUUUUGAAAUUAUAAGUAACUAGGGUUUCAACUCCCUCACGCAAAGCUCACCUACUAUAGAUUUGACCUUUUUUAAAGGUCAUUUUAUUCAUAUUGCCGUUUAACUGCUUCGAUUCCUGACUUUCAAAUAUUCGUCUUUAAGCAGUCAGGAUUAUGCUCGUCAAAAUUAUCUCCCCAUUACGCCAGUUCAUUUUCACAAUCGUAGAAAUGGAAGCCAUUGUAGGAAUGACGCGCUGCC